rnacentral:rRNA from 1 species
UACGUAGGGUGCAAGCGUUAAUCGGAAUUACUGGGCGUAAAGGGCGCGUAGGCGGUCCUGAUCGUCGGAUGUGAAAGGCCUGGGCUCAACCUGGGAAUGGCAUCCGAUACGGCGGGACUGGAGUGUGGGAGAGGUUGGUGGAAUUCCCAGUGUAGAGGUGAAAUUCGUAGAUAUUGGGAAGAACACCGGUGGCGAAGGCGGCCAUCUGGACCAGCACUGACGCUGAGGCACGAAAGCGUGGGGAGCAAACAGGG